rnacentral:rRNA from 1 species
ACAACUCACCUGCCGAAGCAACUAGCCCNGAAAAUGGAUGGCGCUCUAGCGUCGUGCCUAUACCGGGCCGUCAACGGCAAAGUUGGUUUUUCGGAGCCGUUAAGCCUUGACGAGUAGGAGGGUCGCGGCGGUGUGCGCAGAAGGGUCAGGGCGUGAGCCCGCCUGGAGCCGCCGUCGGCGCAGAUCUUGGUGGUAGUAGCAAAUACUCUAGCGAGGGCCUGGAGGACUGACGUGGAGAAGGGUUUCUUGUGAACAGCCGUUGCACAAGAGUCAGUCGACCCUAAGCCCUAGGAGAAAUCCGAUGUUGAUGGGUGGCUAAACAAGAAUCCAUGUUCUGAUUGUUACUUUCCGAUCGUCCAAAUUCAGUCCAAAACGUCGGGCCGUUUUCCUUGUGUGCAAGCACGGGACGGCCGUUCGGUGGCGGACUUGCUUUUUGACGGUCGGGCUCAUCCUGCCCCACGUCCAAACCGUCUCCUGAAGGGGAGCCGGUUCGGACGGCGAGCGGCUGGUUUGACGCAACUACGUGACAACAGCUCCUGUCGGGCAAAAGGGAAUCCGGUUCCUAUUCCGGAACCCGGCUGCGGAACCGUCAUUCAGCGGGCACUCGCCUGCGAGCGCUCGUCGGGGUAACCCAACCUGGCCCGGAGACGCUGGCGGGGGGUCUGGAAAGAGUUUUCUUUUCUUUAUAAGCGUUCGAGUACCCUGGAAUCCUAUAGCAGGGAGAUAGGGUUUGGAACGCGAAGAGCACCGCAGUUGCGGCGGUGUCCGGACCUUCCCCCCGGACCUUGAAAAUCCGGGUGAGGGCUACGUGGAAGUCGCGCCGGAUCGUACCCAUAUCCGCAGCAGGUCUCCAAGGUUAAGAGCCUCUAGUCGAUAGAAUAAUGU